GGUACAUCGGUGACAGGUGGUGCAUGGUUGUCGUCUAGCUCGUGUCGUGAGAUGUUGGGUUAAGUCCCGCAACGAGCGCAACCCCUAUUGUUAGUUGCCAUCAUUCAGUUGGGCACUCUAGCGAGACUGCCGGUAAUAAACCGGAGGAAGUGGGAUGACGUCAAAUCAUCAUGCCCCUUAUGACCUGGGCUACACACGUGCUACAAUGGUUGGUACAACGAGUUGCGAGUCGGUGACGGCGAGCUAAUCUCUUAAAGCCAAUCUCAGUUCGGAUUGUAGGCUGCAACUCGCCUACAUGAAGUCGGAAUCGCUAGUAAUCGCGGAUCAGCACGCCGCGGUGAAUACGUUCCCGGGCCUU
rnacentral:rRNA from 1 species